UGUGUAGGGAGGAGAAAGAAAGGCAAGAAAUGGGAUAAGGGAUUAAGGUUGAAACUAGGACUCCUGGUUUGCACAUUUUACAGACCAUUGCUUAAUCCUUGCCCUCAGAGACCAUACUGAUAGGAGACAAAAACUGAUACAGGCAAGCCUGGUCCCCAUUUAAGGACUUGAUGCUGGGCUUUCUGAAAAGACAGAGUCACCAAUUCACACUGAGCUUCUAUCAAAUCCCUACAUUACCCCCCCUCCCCCCCCCCACACUCAUUUUUUAAAAAAUGAGGUGGAGCAGAAGAGAGGAUUAAGAUGGAAACACACGACAAUCCCGCCUACACUUCCCCUUUAAAACGGUAUGGUUUAAUAAGAGCGUGUUGUUAAUUUCAGUUAUUUACAACACCAAAGCUGAUUAACACAAAAGAAGCCGGAGAAAAGCCGGAGAGACCAGAAACAAUUUCGAUUUUUGUUUCUCUGGACAACAGACACAGAGAGACCCCGGAAGAGGAAUUUUAUUUCCUUCUCUGUAGUAUCUGGCAGAUGAAUUUAUCAGAAAAAAAAAAAAAAAAAGGCCACUUGGCCUAGAAGGCCAAGAGGGAUUGAAAAUGGCUUCCUGCCAUUAGCUCCAGCUCCGGAAGAACGCAUGCGCCAAUUAGAGCAUCAAAGCCCUCUCUGCAGAGCUCGUUUCCAUAAAAUGGAGCGGAUCGCAAACAAUAACAGUUCUCCAGAAACUGCCUCCCUGCUACAGGACUCAACCCCCAAGCCCAUACACUCGUUCACACUGCUCACACUAUACCCGAAUCCACUACUGCCACUGCUAUCAUUUCCUUUACAUGUAAUUCUCGGGGGGGGGGGGG